CUACGGGUGGCAGCAGUGGGGAAUAUUGGACAAUGGGCGAAAGCCUGAUCCAGCCAUGCCGCGUGUGUGAAGAAGGCCUUCGGGUUGUAAAGCACUUUCAGUGGGGAAGAAAGCCUUGGGGCUAAUACCCUCGAGGAAGGACAUCACCCACAGAAGAAGCACCGGCUAACUCCGUGCCAGCAGCCGCGGUAAUACGGAGGGUGCGAGCGUUAAUCGGAAUUACUGGGGGUAAAGCGCGCGUAGGCGGUCUGAUAAGCCGGUUGUGAAAGCCCCGGGCUCAACCUGGGAACGGCAUCCGGAACUGUCAGGCUAGAGUGCAGGAGAGGAAGGUAGAAUUCCCGGUGUAGCGGUGAAAUGCGUAGAGAUCGGGAGGAAUACCAGUGGCGAAGGCGGCCUUCUGGACUGACACUGACGCUGAGGUGCGAAAGCGUGGGUAGCAAACAGGAUUAGAUACCCGAGUAGUC
rnacentral:rRNA from 1 species